UACGGUAGGGGGCUAGCCGUUGUCCGGAAUCAUUGGGCGUAAAGCGCGUGUAGGCGGCUCGGUAAGUCCGCUCUGAAAGCCUGGGGCUCAACCCCAGGAGGCGGGUGGAUACUGCCGGGCUCGAGUCCGGAAGAGGCGAGUGGAAUUCCUGGUGUAGCGGUGGAAUGCGCAGAUAUCAGGAGGAACACCAACCGGCGAAGGCAGCUCGCUAGGACGGUACUGACGCUAAGGCGCGAAAGCGUGGGGAGCGAACAGG
rnacentral:rRNA from 1 species